GAUGAACGCUGGCGGCGUGCCUAAUACAUGCAAGUCGAGCGAACAGACGAGGAGCUUGCUCCUCUGACGUUAGCGGCGGACGGGUGAGUAACAAGUGGACAACCUUCCUAUUAGACUGGGAUAACUUCGGGAAACCGGUGAUAAUACCGGAUAAUAUAUUGAACCGCAUGGUUCAAUAGUUAAACACAGUUUUGCUGUCUCUUAUAGAUGGAUCCGCGCCGCAUUAGCUAGUUGGUAAGGUAACGGCUGACCAAGGCUACGAUGCGUAGCCGACCUGAGAGGGUGAUCAGCCACACUGGAACUGAGACACGGUCCAGACUCCUACGGGAGGCAGCAGUAGGGAAUCUUCCACAAUGGGCGAAAGCCUGACGGAGCAACGCCGCGUGAGUGAUGAAGGUCUUCGGAUCGUAAAACUCUUUUAUUAGGGAAGAACAAAUGUGUAAGAAACUAUGCACGUCUUGACGGUACCUAAUGAGAAAGCCACGGCUAACUACGUG
rnacentral:rRNA from 1 species